ACCUCACCUGCUCAACUGACCGUUAUUGAUUUGAGACGAAAGUACUUUCAAUUUGAUCAGGUUUAGUGAAAUUAGUUCUCAAUGGCGGAAUUGUUGUUCAUUUUAAGUUACCAACAAUAUGCCCCUAUUUUGCAUUGUGGAGUCAUUCAAACAACGUGUCUCAACGGGACUUGACAAAGUUAAGAGUUUAGUUUGUUGGUUGUUUUGCCCUCCUGCUUGACUUCCCAUAUUAGGUCAAACGCACCGCCCUUUGGUAAAGUAGCUGUGUGUAAUGACAGCAGCUUCACACAGUCGAACAUCUCCGCUGUAUGAGCGUAACGUGAAAUGAACACGUUCAUGAACUAAACAAAGUGAAACUUACCUCGCAGAAACGGCUAACGCGAAGCAUAAGAAAGAUAUGGAAACUUAUCAGAGAGAUAACACACUUGGGCGUGUGUGGCGGUUUCUGCGCAGGAUUUGGAGAUUCUGUCGGCGCGGGCCUGAUAACUCUGGAAUAAAGCUUUCUGUGCCGGUAACAUCACAUAGCUCUGUCCGUCCAUGGUAGAAACAUUUCGGACAUGACCGUGGAGUUUAGUUCAAGUGCCGUCGUAGAGGAGGACGGGAAGCGGAGUGGUACUGAGAAGUGGGUGCCGAGAAAGGACCUUGAGCCGGAACUCAAACACGGGUUGCCCGAAGCGCAUUUGCGCUACAUGGCUGGAGCACUGUCCACACGGCCACAGGCUCCGAUGAUUUAACUGUAAGCACACCAAACUCUUCUGGCUCUGUGGGAGUGAUGUCUUACCAUUUGGACCAUGUUACCUUCACCUUCCUACCAUGAUGAAGAAGCAGCUUCACUAUUUUUUCCCUGUGAAUGUGCAGAACUUAAAAACUGCGUGUGUAAAACAGACCUGAGGAGGGUAACGCCCAUGAAACGCUGCAUUCUACUGUAAGCGUUCCUGCUGACUGUGAUUUCCAAGGUUUCCAGCCACAUGAUGUGAGCCAGUGUUGAGCACUCGCAUACUCUGGGAUAUUUUCAAACCGGUUUGAUUUUAUUGCCACAAGAUUUUGUAGUGGGUGCCAAACAAUCACAAUGUGGAACUAGUACAGCAAAUGUCAGUGCAGAACUGUAUAAACAGAGAUUCAAGUGAAAAGUUAUCGCAUGAAUUUAUGUGAAAACGUAUCUACGUUGUUCCCACGAGUACCUCAAAGUUCUUAUUAUUAGUGCACAUCUUAGCAGUGUGUUGUGUAAAGGGCUUGACAUUCACCUGCCGAAUGCGGGUCGAUUUUAGUCACUCCCACUCGCCAUUUUGGCAGGUUGAAUAAAAUUAAACCAAAGUUAACCUUAAUUGUUUAAAUUGAAUUUCCCCUCAAAAAAUUUGUGGCCAGUGACAAGCUGAGUUGCUAGUCACUUUGGAAAACUACAAGCCACUGUUGGUGGUGAGCAAAAAGGUCAAUGUGAAGCCCUGAUUGUGAAGUAUGCACACUGCUACCUAAAGUUGGAAGAUGACAAAAAACCUGUUUGCCUUACGUUAUUGUUUCUGUGAGGAGCAUGUAAAUGCUUCCUGUCUUCCUGAAUUUCAAUUUCUACCAAAAAAGUUGCAUACAGCCUUAAGAACGCCUAAUAGCUGCAUGGUAAAACAAGAGUCCUGGUUCAGAGCUAGUGCUAUUGCUGGUUCCACUGGUGAACCAGCUAAGAACAGGUUUGCUUUUCCACGGUUUAGAGAGCCACAAGGAAGCGUGUUCAUACUCAUCUUCCAAGCAAUGUAAAACGCCAUCAACAAUUGUGGAUGUUGCCUUGCUUGUGAUGUUCAUGGCUUUGGGAGCGUACAUCUGGAUAGGACCAGAGUGCAAGAAAACUGUUUGUUUCUUCCACAGACCAGUUGCUUUUUUCGCGUCCAUCGUGAAUUGAAUUUCAAGAAUGGCAGUCAGUGGUCACAGUAACCCCGUGCCCAGCACCUGACGCAAGCAGUUCUUGCUUCUAGCCCAGCAACGUUUCUGUGCUAGAUAAGAACCACUUUUUCUGGUUCAAAGUUGAUUCUUUGGAUGUGGAAAGACAAAGAAGCGAUUUGGAACUAGGCUCUUGCUCCCUGAUUAAUAUUUAACGGCGCUAUUCCUCAAAAUUGUUGACCCUCAGGGCAUUACUUAACAAUUGAAAUUAUGCUCCUGUAGCUGUGACUGGAAAGCAUGGUGCCUGCAACACCAAUGUUGUGGGUUAAAUACCCAGGGAACACACAUACUGUGUAACAUAAAUGUAUUCCAAGUUCUCAUGGUAUGCUAGGGUGUCCGUGGGUUCAUAAAACGUUUUCAAAGUUGAAAAGUCAAUUUAGAGAAAAUUAAGGCCCUUAAAAAAAUAUGAAAUAACAUUUUCCAAGGUAUUAAAUUGUGUAUCUUUCCAUACUUGUCCAAAGAUGUCAUAUGCUAAAGUUUGCCUUAAUUUAAUCAUUGGUGAGUGGCAGGUCCAUUUACACCAGGUUUUUUAUGGUACAUAUGACACGGCUAAAAAGAACAUUAUCAUUUGUUUUAUAUGUAAUGCACAGUAUUUGAAAAAUACAGAGUUGUUGAACCUUAAACCUUUCAUGUUUCGAUCUCCUCUUUGCCCUGCCUCUCUGAAAGGUGUGGAUAUUUUAAGAAGCUCAUCUUUCUGAAAAGCUAGGUGUUCUAUGAUUGGCCAGUUAACCAGUGCGUAGUGAUUUGACAAAUACUGCAAGCGUGUGACUUAAAUGUAACAUCAGGGUCCAAAGCAAUUGUACUGACAGGUACGCCCAUCCUACUGGCGUUAAGCCCGUCCAGUUUAAUAUUUUUCUGUCAGAUGGUUAGUGGCACAUUGCAACGUGACUAUUACUAUGUUUUGUCGUGUUAAUCGUUGGUUUACAGGGAACAAUCUUUUUUUAUUUAAGUCUAAUUAGGAAUGUAUUAUAGUAGCUUUUUUAAGAGAUAUUUGAAAAUUGAAAUAACUGAAUGCUGAAUGUUAUUGCUGUACUACAAUUGCACUUAAGUUUAAUGUAAAUGUGCCUUUUGAUAUGAUGUAUAUGUAUACUGGACUGUUUUAAAUAUUGUUCGACAUAUAUUAGCAGAAUAAUUUAUUAAAUAUUAGAUUUUAUUUAAGUUUUGUUUGGAAACUGUGGGCAUAACUUACAAAGCCAUACAUGUGACAGAAACACAUACACAGUUAAAUUAAGUUUGAUUUAAAGCUUAAACUUUGCUUUGCGACUAUUGGGCAUGACUUUUUGAACUCUGUUUCAAAGUGUGCUUUGUGAACUAUUUAUCUGCUACAUUAACCUUUCUGAUGUCAUCUUAGCCCCUAGGACAGAUAAUGAUGUCAUUUUUCAAACUUGUAUUAAAUUAAAAGACUGGAAGGAAAUGCGUUAAUUGUAAGUGUCUUCUCAGAACAAGUUAUGCACCUUUAAUGGUUUGCCAAUACAGUAUGUGUUUUUAUUUAUGUUGGUAUUGUAAUGCAGUUCCUUUUGUCUCAUGUUUUCUGCAAUGGAGAGCUGCAAAUCUGUUAAAUUGCAUUAAAAUGGAAUAUUAUACUGGA